GUGGGGAAUAUUGCACAAUGGGGGAAACCCUGAUGCAGCGACGCCGCGUGAGUGAAGAAGUAUCUCGGUAUGUAAAGCUCUAUCAGCAGGAAAGAAAAUGACGGUACCUGACUAAGAAGCCCCGGCUAACUACGUGCCAGCAGCCGCGGUAAUACGUAGGGGGCAAGCGUUAUCCGGAUUUACUGGGUGUAAAGGGAGCGUAGACGGCAGCGCAAGUCUGGAGUGAAAUGCCGGGGCCCAACCCCGGAACUGCUUUGGAAACUGUGCGGCUUGAGUGCGGGAGAGGUAAGCGGAAUUCCUAGUGUAGCGGUGAAAUGCGUAGAUAUUAGGAGGAACACCAGUGGCGAAGGCGGCUUACUGGACCGUAACUGACGUUGAGGCUCGAAAGCGUGGGGAGCAAACAGG
rnacentral:rRNA from 1 species